GUGUGUGGAGCUGCUCUGCCCAGGGCUGUCGAGUCGGGGAUAGGCGGAAUAGCAAUAGGAGCGUACGGUUAGCGUGCCGAUACGGCCCGUCCGGAAUUGUUUGGCUCUCACUCGGCAUCUGGGUGACUUGUUUGAUAACUCGGUGUGAUUUUUCCAGAUGCGGACUGGCUAGAUGCCCACCGAAGAGCGGCAGAGGAGGAGAGCAGAGCGCCGUAAGAAGUUUUACAGGUGGCGGUCAGGCCUCGGCACGGCAGGCCGAAGAAUCCGACUCCGAGCGGCCGAGGAAAAGGGACGGGCGAGAGGAAGGCGUUUCCAAGGAGGGCUUCGUCGCAGCGGAGGUCGACGCCGGGCGGCACGUCGGCGACCGGCGACGCUCUGUCUCGUGAGGGAUAAAGCGGAACCCGGCGGAUGGGGGAGCGUCCCGGUUAGAUGACCUUUUCCCCAUGAGAAGGGAAUCUGGAUUCUGCCCUCUGAAAGCGUUGCAGCGUCAUUUGCGUGAUCUGCGCUUUUCAUGCGUACGGCGCCUUACGGCAGGUCUCUAGGUUCCGCCGCACGCGCUCGGCGAGCAUCCGCGGGGUCAGUGACGCCUCGUCGCUUCGGAAUACGGCCCGUCGAGCGUUUCUCGUCUCGCGAUCGGAGCUUAAAGCGCGCCUCGCGUCGCAGAUGUUUCUGCGAGGUCGCCUUUGCGGAGGUGGUCUGUGCCGGACUCACAGUUGUGCUCUAGAAACUUCCGCCUCAUUUGAAGUUUGAUACCAUCUUUCAUCUCUAUAUGCUGUGGGAUGCCGAACUAGUCCAGGCUUGUUGGUGCCAAAAACAGGGCCAUUUUGACCCAGCAGAAGGGGCCCCGGGGGAGUCCAGCUUGGGCGAGAGCAGGAAUUGAGCAACUUGCUUAUCUUGCACUGAUAAGCACCGGACCUGAACAGGGGCAGGAGAUGAGCAAUUUGUUCAUCCUAACAAGAUGUGGCGUCUGACGGGUCUACUCCUUAAUCAACUAAGUGACGCCUGGGGUGAGGGGGAGCCUCCUUCGCAGCUCGACCUUACUUUGGUAAAACUAAACAGACCACCGCUCCUCUGGACCGAACACGUUUGUUCUCCGCCACUUCCCCCCCCCCAGCCCCGACCAACUGCACAACAA